CUUGCUGUUUCGCUGACGAGUGGCGGACGGGUGAGUAAUGUCUGGGAAACUGCCUGAUGGAGGGGGAUAACUACUGGAAACGGUAGCUAAUACCGCAUAACGUCGCAAGACCAAAGAGGGGGACCUUCGGGCCUCUUGCCAUCGGAUGUGCCCAGAUGGGAUUAGCUAGUAGGUGGGGUAACGGCUCACCUAGGCGACGAUCCCUAGCUGGUCUGAGAGGAUGACCAGCCACACUGGAACUGAGACACGGUCCAGACUCCUACGGGAGGCAGCAGUGGGGAAUAUUGCACAAUGGGCGCAAGCCUGAUGCAGCCAUGCCGCGUGUAUGAAGAAGGCCUUCGGGUUGUAAAGUACUUUCAGCGGGGAGGAAGGGAGUAAAGUUAAUACCUUUGCUCAUUGACGUUACCCGCAGAAGAAGCACCGGCUAACUCCGUGCCAGCAGCCGCGGUAAUACGGAGGGUGCAAGCGUUAAUCGGAAUUACUGGGCGUAAAGCGCACGCAGGCGGUUUGUUAAGUCAGAUGUGAAAUCCCCGGGCUCAACCUGGGAACUGCAUCUGAUACUGGCAAGCUUGAGUCUCGUAGAGGGGGGUAGAAUUCCAGGUGUAGCGGUGAAAUGCGUAGAGAUCUGGAGGAAUACCGGUGGCGAAGGCGGCCCCCUGGACGAAGACUGACGCUC
rnacentral:rRNA from 1 species